AACGAACGCUGGCGGCGUGCCUAACACAUGCAAGUCGAGCGCUCCAGGGGGUUUCGGCCUCGUGGGGAGCGGCAGACGGGUGAGUAACACGUGGGUAACCUGCCCCUGGGUGGGGGAUAACUACUCGAAAGGGUGGCUAAUACCGCAUGAGACCACGACCCUUCGGGGAUGAGGUCAAAGGCGCAAGCCGCCUGGGGAGGGGCCCGCGUCCGAUUAGCUAGUUGGUGAGGUAACGGCCCACCAAGGCGACGAUCGGUAGCUGGUCUGAGAGGAUGACCAGCCACACUGGUACUGAGACACGGACCAGACUCCUACGGGAGGCAGCAGUGGGGAAUAUUGCGCAAUGGGCGAAAGCCUGACGCAGCAACGCCGCGUGGGUGAUGAAGGCCUUCGGGUCGUAAAGCCCUGUCAGAGGGGAAGAAACCUCCCUGCAAGGGGAGCUGACGGUACCCUCGGAGGAAGCACCGGCUAACUCCGUGCCAGCAGCCGCGGUAA
rnacentral:rRNA from 1 species